GUGCCCGCCAUGUUCCGCGGCGCUUCCCGCCCGGCGGGGGGCAGGGCGCUGGCCGCCCGCCCUGACGGGGGCCGCGGCCGCUGGCGGCGAGCUGUCACGGCGCCGCGGGGAGGGCGGGAGCCUCCCUGCGAGGAGCCUGAGAAAGGGAAGGGGGCGCCCUGUGCUCCUGUGACGGCUCCUUUUUGCCACGGGGGCGGCUCUCACUGCCCCGUGGCUGCUGGGGCGCUGCCGACCUACCUCAGCAAGGCUUUGGCUGCGCUUCGGGGCCCUAAGGACAGGAGCUGGCGACCUGUGUAAGAACAGGCCCGCAACUCCGAAGCGGUCCUCAACCCUUGCUGCUCCCGCCUCUGCCAGGCAGCUCUGGCCUUGACCCCAAACUCGCGUUGAUCCUGAUAACCUCAGUCCCUGAGAUGUUUUUCCUAGUUUUCUUUCAACCGAGCCGCAACGCGCUCAAGCUUGGAUUCCCCGCAAAACUAGUGUCGCACAUCCUCUGGUACCGCUGUAGAGGGCAGAUCCCGUAACCUACCUCCUCCAGGAAAGACUUCCCCAAAAUGUCUUUGGAGAAAAUGCAAAUAAUGAGCUUGCAAAGAACUAGCAUUGCCUCAGAAAUAGUACGGGACUGAAUCCUCACAUCUCCACUGAAACAGAUCCAUUUAGUAUGGGACACGCUGUCCCAUACCAAGUUCAGAAAACAACUGAAUUUCCCUCUGCUACAUGUGGGGGCAGAGCUGAGGCCUCCUGUCCAAGCGUACGGGCUGUGCUCGCACUGCUGCGGUCGACAGGACUCUGUCCAGCUCUUGCAGAAUGUUUGCUUUGGGUUAUGUUAAGGGGACAAAUUCUGCACACGCUUUUUGGAAAGUCAGUUAAAUCCUCCUAUAUGUGUCACCUCGCUCAGGUACCUGUUGACAUGCCUGAGGGCCGGUUUACUUAUUUUUCUAGGACUGAGGAGCCAGAAGGGGGCACUAAAAACCAAGUUGAGACCUCAUUCUUCGAGUUCUUGCAAUCAGAGUAAAGAAACUUCAACUCUGAAAUUCAUUACAUCUCUUUUCCAUUAUUGAUAAGUGUUUUGUGCUUUUAAACAAAAGCAUUUCUCCUGGCACAUUACAGGUGGUCAUUUACACAGUAGCAGUUGAUUAUACAGAAAAUGUUACUAUGUCCUCACAGGUGUGCACCAACCAGCAGGAAUUUUUUGUGGUCUUGGCUGCAGUACUAUGGAAAAAACAAAAUGUUCUGUAUUGCAGAAAAUCUUUAUAGAGUUAAGAAUGCAGUAUACAUUUAGUCAAGGUUCCAUUAACACUGUAUAUGAGUUUUCAUUAUCAUAAGUAUAACUUCCAUCUUUAAAAUCAUCUCUAAUGGUAUUUUCAUUAGACAGAAUUCAUCAAAGGUACAUUUAAGAGAGAGAUAUUUGAUGUCUGAUGUAGGCAACUCAAAACACAGUUUGCAUCUGUGAAGUACGUUGUUUCUUUUCCUUUAUUUUACCCAGCCGUGUAAUUCUUAGUUUUUGUUAAAUAAAUAAUCUAACAGACA